rnacentral:rRNA from 1 species
CCUACGGGGGGCAGCAGUGAGGAAUAUUGGUCAAUGGGCGCGAGCCUGAACCAGCCAAGUCGCGUGAGGGAAGACGGCCCUACGGGUUGUAAACCUCUUUUGCCGGGGAGCAACGGGCGCCACGUGUGGCGCCACUGAGAGUACCCGGAGAAAAAGCAUCGGCUAACUCCGUGCCAGCAGCCGCGGUAAUACGGAGGAUGCGAGCGUUAUCCGGAUUUAUUGGGUUUAAAGGGUGCGUAGGCGGAGCGUUAAGUCAGUGGUCAAAUUGAGGGGCUCAACCCCUUCCCGCCAUUGAAACUGGCGCUCUUGAGUGGAAGAGAAGUAUGCGGAAUGCGUGGUGUAGCGGUGAAAUGCGUAGAUAUAUGGAGGAACACCAGUGGCGAAGGCGACGAUCUGGCCUGCAACUGACGCUCAGUCCCGAAAGCGUGGGGAGCAAAUAGGAUUAGAUACCCUUGUAGUC